GCACAGCGAAGCGACGGGCAGGGUCCUUGCACGUCCUGGCAGUCCCGGCCGCGGGCCGGUUGCACCGGCGGGUCGUGCAGCGCCGGCGUGGGAAGUUUGGGGGGUGCCUUCCGCCCCCCCCGGCGAAAACCGCUACCCUUAAAAGCAGGUUUCCGUAGCGGCUCCUCGCUCGGGUAUCGCUCCUUGGAAAAGCCCCGUUGGAGGGCAUUGGCCCCAGGAGGUGGGCACAGCAGCCCGCGGGCAGCGCGGGUGCGGGAGGAUGCUCCCAGCCCCAAACCGGAGCCCGGCACUGCUCCAAUUUGCAGCGGAUCCCACUGCUGCUCCUGCGUGGGCCUCCGGCCCCGAUCCCGCUCCCUCCCACCCCGUGGCCCGGCCGGGGCAGCGCUGCGCUGCGGCAUCAACGGGGCGCUUUGUUCCCCGCGCCGCCAGCUGCCAUCGGCCUCCUCCCGCCGCGCUGAAAGGGGCCCUGUGUGCGCCGCCGCGGGGAACAAAACGCCGUCUCUUCUGCCUGCCGGGGGCCGGUGCCCCCCCCCCACCGGCGGCGAGGGCCGGGGACGGAGGCAGCCGGCGCGGCCAGGGCUCCCGGCUGCUUUCCCACCCGGGGAUGCGGGACCCGCAGUCACGGCCCCUUCCCCCCCAGGCACCCGGCGUCCCACAGGAAUCGGCCCAGGAAAGACAAGGGGUAAAACCUGCCCUGCCCCAAGGUGCAGCUCUGCAAACUGCUCCCAUCGCAGGGGCUCCAAGGCGGGAAGCUCCAAGGAGGCUCCAUCGCGGGGGCUCCAAGGCGGGAAGCCGACCGCGGCCCAACGCCUCCUCCAGCUCUCGUGGCUGGAACGGGCAGAGCAGGGGGUCCCGGAGCAGCCCUGGAAGAGCCGGUCCGCAGGCUCCCAUGGGAUCCCUUGCUGGCCGUCUCUGAGCUCAGACCCCCAUCCUGAGCCUGAGCCCUCGGGGACGGGUUCCCACGCCACCGCUGGCAAAGCACGCCGGGCAAGCAAGCCGCCUGCCAUGGGACAGCGAAGACGGAAAACCGAUGGAAAUCCUUUCACCUUCUCCUGUGCAGGGAAAGAAGAAGGAAGGGGAUCGCAGCCCGGCGAGGAUGCCGAUACCCCCGCGGCCCGGGGAGGGCGAGCAGGCCAUGGGGACGGUGCCCAGGUCGCUACAGCGGCUGCCUCCAAGGGCAAAGCCCAAAGCGCCACCAGGCCUGAUGCUCCUUUUCGCCUCCGCUCUCGGGGAGGGAGCAGGUCCCUCAUUUCCAGUCUUCCAUCUCCUCCUUGUGGCCGCCGGCCGCAGCACGGUGCCGGCCCGGAGCUGGCGCUGCCGCAGGGGGCAGGAAAAGCAGCACCGAGCGGCAGCGCGGGGGUAAAAGGGGGGUCAAGCACCACGGGCCUCUCGCCCUGA
ensembl:lncRNA